rnacentral:rRNA from 1 species
AGCAGCAGCCGCGGGAAUACGGAGGAUCCAAGCGUUAUUUGGAAUCAUUGGGUUUAAAGGGUCCGUAGGCGGUCUUGUAAGUCAGUGGUGAAAGCCCAUCGCUCAACGGUGGAACGGCCAUUGAUACUGCAGGACUUGAAUUAUUGGGAAGUAACUAGAAUAUGUAGUGUAGCGGUGAAAUGCUUAGAGAUUACAUGGAAUACCAAUUGCGAAGGCAGGUUACUACCAAUUGAUUGACGCUGAUGGACGAAAGCGUGGGUAGCGAACAGGAUUAGAGACCCCUGUAGUCCCUGUCUCUUAUAC